UACAGAGGUCUCAAGCGUUGUUCGGAUUCAUUGGGCGUAAAGGGUGCGUAGGUGGCACUGUAAGUCGGGUGUGAAAUCCUGAGGCUUAACCUCGGAACUGCAUUCGAUACUGCGGUGCUUGAGGACUGGAGAGGAGACUGGAAUUCAUGGUGUAGCAGUGAAAUGCGUAGAUAUCGGGAGGAACACCAGUGGCGAAGGCGACUUCCUGGCCUGUUCUUGACGCUGAGGCGCGAAAGCUAGGGGAGCAAACGGG
rnacentral:rRNA from 1 species